UCCUCGCUCAAACAAUCGCUAUCGAAGCUACAUACGGACCGGAAGGAGGACGUCCAAUCCCCCUUCCGUUCACAUUAUACAGAAUGCUUUGGGAGAAAGUCCCCGGACGUAUCGAGGAAAGGAAAAGUCAGAAAAACUUUCUCUUGUCUUCGCAGUUGAAAAACACCGACAUAGAAGCUUCUUUCCAUUCGGUUCAUCUUGCAGCAUUAUAAAACAAUCCACCCGUCCUUCUUGACUCUAUACUCUCUUUCCUUACGCGUCUCUCGCCGAAAGGUUUUGAUAUUGCAGACCGUGGAGGAGAGUGAGUUUUGAGGGGUGGGAAUUGGGGCUCACGCCCUGGUGCUGUUUAUAAUAUUCGUCAGAGAUUGGAUAGUUAUGCGAUUGCCCUGUACUCUCUCUUCUGGAGGGUAUGGGGUGACUCGAUGGGGCUUAUUCUUGAGGCGAGG
rnacentral:RNase_MRP_RNA from 2 species